rnacentral:rRNA from 1 species
GACGAACGCUGGCGGCGUGCUUAACACAUGCAAGUCGAACGGAAAGGCCCUGCUUUUGUGGGGUGCUCGAGUGGCGAACGGGUGAGUAACACGUGAGUAACCUGCCCUUGACUUUGGGAUAACUUCAGGAAACUGGGGCUAAUACCGGAUAGGAGCUCCUGCUGCAUGGUGGGGGUUGGAAAGUUUCGGCGGGUGGGGAUGGACUCGCGGCUUAUCAGCUUGUUGGUGGGGUAGUGGCUUACCAAGGCUUUGACGGGUAGCCGGCCUGAGAGGGUGACCGGGCACAUGGGGACUGAGAGACGGCCCAGACUCCUACGGGAGGCAGCAGUGGGGAAUAUUGCACAGUGGUCGGAAGCCUGAUGCAGCGACGCCGCGUGCGGGAUGACGGCCUUCGGGUUGUGAACCGCUUUCGCCUGUGACGAAGCGUGAGUGACGGUAAUGGGUAAAGAAGCACCGGCUAACUACGUG